UUCUUCUUCUUCUUCUUCUUUGGCUUGCGGUGCACUUCUACAUCCCUUUGGAGUGUGUUAGCAUCAUCAUCAACAUCAAAUUCAAGUUGUUCAAACUCCAUUCAAAAAGAGGCAGCAUGUUCUUCUUUGUUUUUGUUAUUUUAAUUGUGUUUUCUUUUGUUACUAUGAGUGAGUAGUUUCCUUGUUCAAUAGAGAAGAUUAUUGAAAAUAUGGAAUAAUUAUCAUGAGACUAUUUUGAGCUAUCAAUUAAAUCACUAUUUUCUUCACUUGAAUAUCUAUGU
rnacentral:misc_RNA from 1 species